GAUUCUUUAACUUAAUUGGUAAAGUGUGCCUUUGAUGAGGGUAUGUUCGGCGUUCAAAUCGCUGAAGAAUCA
rnacentral:tRNA from 2 species